UUGUACACAGGCAUUUGGCAAUGCAAAGACCAAUAGAAAUGAUAAUUCCAGUAGAUUUGGCAAGUACAUGGAUAUUCAAUUUGACUUCAAGGGAGCACCAUUUGGAGGUCACAUCUUGAACUACCUUCUUGAGAAAUGCAGAGUUGUCCAUCAAGCCAAAGGUGAAAGGAAUUUCCACAUCUUUUAU